GGGCGCGUAACUCAGUGGUAGAGUGCCACCUUCACACGGUGGAAGUCGUAGGUUCGACCCCUGCCGCGCCCACCC
rnacentral:tRNA from 1 species